rnacentral:antisense_RNA from 1 species
GCUACGAAUUGAGAGAGGCUUCCACGACAGUGUCGAUUGGGGGCCUUUUUCUUUUGCGGUUUUUCUUC